rnacentral:rRNA from 1 species
UUAGGAAUAUUGGACAAUGGGCGCAAGCCUGAUCCAGCCAUGCCGCGUGAGUGAUGAAGGCCUUCGGGUUGUAAAACUCUUUAGCCGAUGAAUAUAAUGACUGUAGUCGGAAAAUAAGCCCCGGCUAACUUCGUGCCAGCAGCCGCGGUAAUACGAAGGGGGCGAGCGUUAUUCGGAAUCACUGGGCGUAAAGCGUGCGUAGGCGGUUUUGAAAGUUGGAAGUGAAAGCCCAGGGCUCAACCCUGGAAUUGCUCUCAAAACUACAAGACUCGGAUUCGGGAGAGGAUAGCGGAAUUGUCAGUGUAGCAGUGAAAUGCGUAGAUAUUGACAGGAACACCAGUGGCGCAAGCGGCUAUCUGGACCGACAUCGACGCUGAGGCACGAAAGCGUGGGGAUCAAACAG